rnacentral:rRNA from 4 species
UGAAGAACGUAGCAAAAUGCGAUACUUGGUGUGAAUUGCAGAAUCCCGUGAACCAUCGAGUUUUUGAACGCAAGUUGCGCCCGAAGCCAUCCGGCCGAGGGCACGUCUGCCUGGGCGUCACGCAUC